rnacentral:rRNA from 1 species
UACAGAGGGGGCAAGCGUUGUUCGGAAUUACUGGGCGUAAAGGGCGCGUAGGCGGCCUGUUAAGUCGAACGUGAAAUCCCCGGGCUCAACCCGGGAACUGCGUCCGAUACUGGCAGGCUUGAAUCCGGGAGAGGGAUGUGGAAUUCCAGGUGUAGCGGUGAAAUGCGUAGAUAUCUGGAGGAACACCGGUGGCGAAGGCGGCAUCCUGGACCGGCAUUGACGCUGAGGCGCGAAAGCGUGGGGAUCAAACAGG